UGUAUUUGUGUGAGUUUUUGUUUACCUUGUAACUAAAGACUUAAAGUUGAGUACAAAAGUAAAACUUCCUGUGCAAUACAGAACUCACUGUUCAGAGUGAGUUUUGAUAUACAUGAUAAAAAAUGUG